UACGAAGGGGGCUAGCGUUGUUCGGAAUCACUGGGCGUAAAGCGCACGUAGGCGGAUGUGCCAGUCAGGGGUGAAAUCCCGGAGCUCAACUCCGGAACUGCCUCUGAUACAGCACGUCUUGAGUUCGAGAGAGGUGGGUGGAAUUCCUAGUGUAGAGGUGAAAUUCGUAGAUAUUAGGAAGAACACCGGUGGCGAAGGCGGCCACUGGCUCGAUACUGACGCUGAGGUGCGAAAGCGUGGGGAGCGAACGAG
rnacentral:rRNA from 1 species